UUUUUUUUUUUGGUGCUAAACUUUCUUUGUUACCUGCACAGAAGACAAGAAGAAUAGCUCAACAAUUCUAACCAACCUUGAAAGCUUUCCAUCAAAUUCUUGGUGGUUGGGCACUUUCGUGUGUGGUGUUGGACAGAAACAAAGUUUCAUUAUAUUUCUCAUACACAAUUUAUCCUAUCCACCCCAUGUAUAAUUUUUACAUAUAUUAUGUUAUUAAGUGGUUAAAUAUUAUUAUCUACGUAAUAAUAUUUUAGAGAUGAUGUACUUUUCUUUAUUGAUAUUGUAGGAGUGACGAUGUACUGAAUG
rnacentral:lncRNA from 1 species